CAAACAAUUGAUUGCAUGAUAUGAAGGCUUAUAUAAUUUCAAAUGAAAGGAGGAGCCUUAACUCCAAAAUUUAUUGUUUCACACCUUUCAAGAUUGAAUAAAUCAAAUAACCAGACACUUGAAUUCAUUUAUGGAUUUUAUUUUCUUGUUUAUUGAGCAAUUCACUUUACAUAUACUCAAUGUUUUGUCAUCAUCAAAAAGGGGGAGAUUAUGGAGUGAUUGAUCAUAACCCUAUUUGAUUUUGAUGAGCUCAAAGCAUCUGAGUAUAUCUCUUGUUUACUAAUGAAUUCAAUUGAGUGUUUCAGUGAAAAUCUUAUCUAAAGUGUUUCU
rnacentral:lncRNA from 1 species